CAAGGCUUUGCUCUAACUCGAAUACUGCCAAUUUGUCCUUCAACACUUUUAGGGCAGUCUCUUCCUUUGCUUUGUCAUUGCAUUCUUUAUUGAAAACCAUCAGUCUGGCUUUGAAGGCCUGAAUAUCGGCCAUUUGCUUUUGCAAUUCAGAAUCCAUUCAAGAUUCCUUGAUUAUUCUUUUGCCAAUCACUGGCUCUCCUAAGG
rnacentral:lncRNA from 1 species